GAAAAGUAAGGAGAAAAGGGGAAGAACAAGGGAGAAGCUAGGGUUUCCAUCAAAUUGAAGAGGUAAGGGGGGAAUCCUUAUUAUUAUGGGUUAGUAUGAUUGGGUCAAUGGGUAGAAGCAUGUGUAGGUUGAAAUCCUUAAAUUGCAUGGUUUUGGAAUUGUUAGGUCUUGAUGAAUAUUCUCGAUUUGUGGUGAUUGGAUUGUGU
rnacentral:lncRNA from 1 species